rnacentral:rRNA from 1 species
UAUAUUUCUUCUAAAGCUAAAUACCGGCCAGAGACCGAUAGCGCACAAGUAGAGUGAUCGAAAGAUGAAAAGCACUUUGAAAAGAGGGUUAAACAGCACGUGAAAUUGUUAAAAGGGAAGCGCUUGUGACCAGACUUGCGUCCGGUGAAUCACCCAGCUCUCGCGGCUGGGGCACUUCGCCGGCUCAGGCCAGCAUCAGCUCGCUGUCGGGGACAAAAGCUUCAGGAACGUAGCUCUCUUCGGGGAGUGUUAUAGCCUGUUGCAUAAUACCCUUCGGCGGGCUGAGGUACGCGCUCCGCAAGGAUGCUGGCAUAAUGGUCAUCAG